AAUGCUUUCACUGGUUUCCAUGGUGAUUGUCCUACAUUUUCCUUUUUUAGACCACUCUUUAGAAAACUUUAAUCUCCUCCAUGUAUUCUAGACCUGGCAAACUAAGAUGCUCCAGAAGUUUGGCCACUAAGAUUUUCAAAAUGUUUUGUGUAGUAAAGCUAUAAGUGGACAUAGGAACAUAAUAUCUCACUGAAAAUUUUGAAAGUUAAACCCAGUCAAAGCAAAUCCAAAGUAAACCAAUGCAACAUAUGCAAAAAAUCCAAUGCAUG